UACUCUCACACUUCCGAUCGUUUGGAUCAGGAGCGGUGGACUUGGGUGUUGCUGCUUUACUGUGGCUCACCUUAAAUGCAUUAGUGCACCUUUCGGUUGGACAUAGUACGGCGUGAUAAGUGUCUUCGCCGGCACCUCACAGAGGGUGGCCGAUCGGGAGCUCUGUGCUUCAAACCGUCUUCGGACAACAUCUGACA
rnacentral:misc_RNA from 1 species